UUCUUCAGAGUUAUUUUAAUCAAUGAAAAACCGUGUUUGUGUGCACAGAAGGAAAACAUGCAGCGCUGGCAUUAACAGAGAGCUUUAUGCUUCAGGCUUUAAGAAACGAGGAUCAUCUCCACAUCUUCUCCUGCUGCUUGUGCCAUCUCCCAGAGCACAUGGUGCUGGCCCUGCAGGAGGGUCCUGUGCUCAGGUGAGAUGCUGAACCUCCUCAACAGCCAGGGAGGACCAGGGUGGUGGGGGAUGUCACUCGUGCAGAGGGGGCAUCUUGCAGCAGCGAGGGCAGAAGUGGGAAGGAGGGGAGGGCCGGGGUGAAGCUGAACUAGGGGAUUGCUGCACCAAAGCAGAGCAAUAAGCCUUGUAGGAACGUGCAGGUGGCCAGUGUCUCCUGCAUGAGAGUAAAAGUCCACCUUGGCUGCCCGCUGUCUCUCACCUCGUGAUACCUUAGAGUUGCUCCAUCAAUGAGAUGUGCCCAGAACCUGGGGCAGGGCGCUGCGGGAGCUGAGCACCAGGCUGCACACGCUGGCCGGUGCCGCCGUCCUCCGUGCCGUCACCCUCACCAGCCGCGGCGGCGUCCCCGGUGCGCUGCCCCCAGCUCCUGCGGGGAGCCUCUGCUCGCCGUCCCGGCACGGCUCUUACCUCAGGUGAGUGCUGGGGCUCUGCGGGUGGGAUGGCAGAGCCGGCCCCAUGCUGCUGCCGAGCAGUGCCAUGGUGCGUGUCUGGGCCGGGGGGCUGCAGGGGCGCGGAGCGCAGCGUGAAGUCGGCCUUACCCAGCAGAGCCUGGAAGAGUUCACUUUGGAAGAUGUGCGAGACUUUUCCAAUGGAAGCUUUUAGCUCCUGCUCCUCCGGGGACUGCAGGGUGCUUUGGUAUCUGGUCAGAAUUUCCACUGCCCGUUCAGGCGCUCCUUACCUUCCCUGCGGAUCAUCGCUCCGCCGUGGCCAGCGGCCGCUCCGCUCGGUGCCAGCCCCCGAGGAGCCGCCGCCGCCGCCCGCCUCUCCCCGCCCCGCCCCGGGGGGACCGGCCCAGGAGCCGCCUCCCGCCGGCACCGCCCCGGGAGCGCCGGCACCGAGCGCGCACCCGCGCCCGGACCU
rnacentral:lncRNA from 1 species